rnacentral:snoRNA from 15 species
GCCCCCAUUAUCUUUCCAUCAAAUGAUUUAGGACGUCAUUGAUGGCUUAGAAUGGGGAAAAUUGAAUCGGUAGAAUGUGAUUUGUGAGUUGUUCACUGACACGUGGCAACUCGUAUUCGCUACUUCCUACAUUU